rnacentral:rRNA from 1 species
UAAGGAAUAUUGCGCAAUGGGCGAAAGCCUGACCCAGCAACGCCGCGUGCAGGAUGAAGGCCCUCGGGUCGUAAACUGCUGUCGGGAGGGAAGAAAGGCAGCGGGAGGAAAUGACCGCUGCCUGACGGUACCUCCAAAGGAAGCGCCGGCUAACUCUGUGCCAGCAGCCGCGGUAAGACAGAGGGUGCAAACGUUGUUCGGAAUUACUGGGCGUAAAGCGCGUGUAGGCGGCGUAGCAAGUCGGGCGUGAAAGCCCACGGCUCAACCGUGGAAGAGCACUCGAAACUGCUGCGCUAGAGUUCUGGAGAGGAAGGCGGAAUGCUUGGUGUAGAGGUGAAAUUCGUAGAUAUCAAGCGGAACACCGGUGGCGAAGGCGGCCUUCUGGACAGUGACUGACGCUGAAACGCGAAAGCGUGGGGAGCAAACAGGAUUAGAUACCCUAGUAGUCCCUGAGCGGGCUGGCAAGGCGCAU